UGCUUCCAGUUUGGGGGUCAACCUCCGCUGCUAGGGUUUCCGUCUCUACCUGCAUCGGAUUUCUCCAUCGAUCUGUUCUCCCGUUCGACAUGUCCGAUCGAUUGAGCCGUGGAUUCUCGUAGAUCGGUCCGCGAUCUGUCGAUCGAGCAUAGAUAUGGCGCGUGUCUGCGGUAGAUUCGGUACGGAUCCUCUUUUCGCUUCUCCUGUAUGAUUCGAUGAAGACUCUCCGUGUCUGUGCGCUAGAUCUGUCCCUCUUGCAUCAUCGAUCUUUUACGAUUUUCGGAGCAGAUCGGUCGAGCAUCGGGGUCUUGUGAUCCGGGCGGUGUUUCGAGAUAUCCGCCUCGGGUUUUCUUGUGCCGCGGAUUCAUCGCCGCGCAUGGAGGCCGAGAGUUCACGGCUGCGGAUGCGGCGGAUCGCGUGUUCCUCGUUGAGGACGUGUUGCCGCGGACUGUCAGCUCGAUUGAGGAGGCCUUUUGAUGUUUUCUGUGUGGAUGGCGAUUGCUAGAGCCGGGGUCUGUGUAUUCUUGUACAAGGAAGGACUCGCGCGAUGAUGGGAAGAGAUGGCCUUGACGGUUUGAUACAUGAUUGAAUAUCUGCUGGUCAGUUUUUGGUUGUUCGUUAUUUAUGAAAAGAGGUAUAAUUGGUUGUGUGUGGGGGGAAACAAGUGGCGAGUGAGGUUUUCUAAAAGGGGUCGUGAGAGGGAAAAGAUGAUGAGAUGUUGGAAUAAGAAUGUGCGAUUGUCGUCGACCUCUGCCAUGACGGGUGCGCUUGCAUGGCGGGUCAAAAACCCCAAUAAAAGUUUGCUUUUUUGUUGUGUGGGGGGAAGAUGGCACGGGGUUUUCUUUUGCCCGGCUCUCCCCCCCUUGGCGUGGUGUCGUCUCCCUCUCUCCCUCUCUCUCUCUCUUUCUCUCUCUCUCUCUCUCUCUCUCUCUCAGACAGCUGCACGUGGUUUAUAGCUGAUAUCUCGCAAGAAACCAAUUGUUUCAUUAAUCGGAAGGCAAACAAGUUCUGACGGGAUGACCUCAAAAUAUCACACUCGGCUUAUACUGGAGGAAGUCCUCGAUGAUACUCUAUCCGAAGGUACAACUACACUGCUUUAUCCAUUCUACCAUAGCUUCGCCUUCUGAAUUUAUACGAUAUUUACUUUCCAUUCACCGGUGUCGAGUGCCGCCAGUGAAUUUCAGUGGACCAAACUGUUACUACCCGUAUAUAUUUUAGUUUAUCAAGACAUUAAUAACAGCAGCGGGUCUGACGCUAUUCACAGAUAUGGUCAAUUUCGGCCAUUUAAUAGUGGAUUUCUUGCAAACUGGUGCUGUGUCAGUAUAUAUUUUAGUGCAUCAACGUGGGUAACAGUCAGAAGGUUUGACGCUAUUCACAGAUAUUUGCAAUUGCAAGUCUUGGAAUCUGCUUUUUCAUUGUUGUUCUCGAGCAAUUUCAUCGCAAUUAAUGGCUAAUGCUUACCACAGCCGAUGAUCACUGUCCGCCAUCAUACUUAAAUUUGUUACGCAAUAUUUUUGCAUUCUAAUCCUGUGGCUCACAUAAAUGGACAUGCUCUUAAGGGACUCUAUUGAUGAUGGGCUUCUUUGUAUAGUCCCAGUAAAGUAAGUUCAUGUAGAUGGGACUUUACUUUCAGUUUCUUCAUCAGACGUAAGAGAGUAAUCUGGAUCGUCUUUGAGAGAUCUACUUGCCCUUAUUUCGUGGCAAAGUGCGUGUUCGCACAAGAUCUGCAAGAAGAGAAUUUGGAAUAAUAGGGUCCCCUUUGUUCAAUUUGGAUCGAAGAAUCGUGGAUGGUCAUUGCUAAAGUGUUUUUAGAGGGAAGAGGAACAUGUAGAUGCAAUUCGAAACCGGCGUGGUGCUGCUGGAAAGAUAGAAAGAGGUUAUUCUAAAAUUUGCCUAGCAGCUGGGGUUAUGAUCUGCUGGUUAGUUUCAUAUUCUCCAUUAUCUGUGAAAGAGGUAAGCAUGGUAAGCAUAUGUGAGAAGAAAUUUGUAUGGCUGUAAAAGACGGAUGUGAGAGGAAGUAAUCGUGGGAUGUCAAAAAAAGUCAUUGUUGACGACCUUUGCCAUGACAGGUGCGCUUGCAUGGCAGGUCAAAGGAACCCUUAAUAAGAUGGUCUUUUUUGGUUGUUGGGGGGGGGAGAUCGUACGGGCUUUAUUUUUUUGGCCCUGGUCUCCCUCCUCUCUCUCUCCCCUCCUUCUCCCUCUCCCCUUCCUCUCCCUCUCGCUCUCCUUCUCUCUAAGAGAAAAUGGUUCAACAUGGCUGGUUAAGCAUGACAAAACACAAAAAAAAGAGCAGAAAGAUCACUUCCCCUUGUUAUUCAGUGGAAAUGGUGUCUAUUAUACAUAUUGGAGGUACCCAAUUACAUCUCAACUACUAGGUAUAUAUCACUGUCAGUUUUAUGUUCUGCGCCUUUACCGAAUCAAUCAUCAGCAUGCCAUAGCUGCAUUUGAUAUCAUCACAAGUUUUAUGUAUCCCUUUGCAACUUAUUGCUGAUGGCGAACAGCUAAUUCUGUUUAAAGGGCACAUGAAAAUGAAUCAUUACAAAGAUUGGCAUGCUACAUACUUUUAUGGAUUUGCUAUUGUGAGUUAGAGAAGUUCCCUAACCUCUAUAACUAUGAAGAGUAAAUAGUGUUAAUUGAUAUUUCAUGUACCGUUACUUAUGCAAAUUUUUUGAGAAUACCCAUCGGUCUCUUAAUUAAUCUCUUUCGAGUAAAGGUAGUAAUGCAAAGUAAAAUUGGCCAGAUUAAUGCACUUUAUAAGACAAAUCAAUUGCAAGAUGCUUCCUGUAAAGCUGAUUAUUACAGUUCUCAAGUUAAACCAAUGCGUAUCUCUGAGAGAAAUGAUCCAUGGUACAUGAGAACGUCCUCUGUUUUGUCUCCCUUCAUUUUGCUGUAUUUCUAUAUAUGAAGCAACGGCAAUGAAAAUUCUGGGCAAGAUAGUUGAUUGAAGUAGGAUGUGCAUUUACUUGUUUUUGCUAUGUAUGUAGUAGUGAAAUUAUUUGUAGCGCGAAGCUGAUGUGCUUUCAGAGCAGUUAGAAUGUAUGUGUGUUCUAUUAGUGUAAUGACCAUUUCAUGUACUCUCAUGUACUAAGAGUUGUGUGCAUUAAGUCUGUUUUUAAUUGAAAAUCGAGCUAUCUUGCUGGAGUUCGGUCAACGCUCGUGAGAAGAUGUCAUCAUCCCUUUGUGCAUGCAGCAUCUGGAUGGAGGAGCACUUCUCUCGUGAAGCUGUUAGAGCGACGGUAUAAUGCCAAAUUUACGAGACCAUGACAAGCCUGAACCGUCGAGCCUUUUGAAAUGAACUAUUAAGGGUCGGGCUGGACCGGAUUUAUGACUUCGAAAGACUCGGCUAGUGAAUGGCCCAGGCAUGUCCUACCCAUGGGCAGCAGCACCAGAUUUAGAUGGAGAUAUAGUCAACUCAGUCUCUAUAUUCGAGCUUCAGUGUGGUCUUUUCUCCUGACUUCUGUACUUCAUCAGUUGAACCUGACUCCUUUGUUGCUGAAGGAUGAAUGGAUUCUAGAAGAGCCCAAGCAGCUUUGUGGAAGCUUGUGCCAAUUUGAAUUUAGAAUCAAUUGGUAAUUUGGUCUGGCAUGUCGGUUUUCUUUCUGUUGGUUUCCCUUUUUGUGCCAUUAAUUACGAGUCACUUGGGUGGAAAUUCAGUCUUUCAGUUGCAUCCAGUGCUUUUAAGUUCAACACAUGUUUUAAUGUUUUUGAGUGGUAUAACCUUGUUCAUCCUAGGUUUUUCUGGUUUAUAUGGUUCAUUUUAUCAAAUGUUCAGGUAGAGAGCUAAGCUUGGUGCCAUUCAAAGUGUUGUCGUGUAGCUGUGGAUCCCUGCUGCUGGCUUGUCUUAAUAACUCCAAGCCCUCAUUUGGCUCUUAUUGGUGAACUCCUGAGGGAAUCUACCAUUAUCAAAGACAAACACAAAUGUACACAUUCUGACUCAUUGGUAGAGAACAGACGAAUUAGUUUCAUUCCUAUUCAUAAACACAUGGAAGUAUUUGCUUUUGAGUGCCGAUGGUGAGUUUGUCAUGGAACUGAGUUGCUGAACCUGCCUUCAUCGUCGUCUGAUUCUUGGAAAGGUGAACACGAUCCUACUCCAUCCCAGCAACUAAGAUGGGAGUUUCAUUUUUGGUUGGAAAGCAGCUGGAGAUGGAGUUGGCUCACCUAUAUCGAGUGCUGGUGCAUGAAUACAGUCGAUCGGUGAGCUUUAAAAUCCCAAUUGUCUUUCGAGGGCGCACCGUGAUGCCGGACUGAUUCUUAUGCAUAUUUUACAUUUUCAUUUUGAUGAAAUUUGGCAACGUUAAAAAAAGAAGGUCACGGGCAUAUAGUUUGGCUCUUUUCUUUUUAUGGAAAUUUGGAUAUUUUUAUAAAAACAUUGAAUAUCUUUGGAAA